UACGGUCAAAUCACGCCAAAUCACGCCACUUCCCGUUCAAUCACCGAAGUUAAGCAUUUUCGAGCCCGAUUAGUACUUAGAUGGAUAACCGCUUGGGAACACAGUUUACUG